AGGGUUCGAUUCUGGCUCAGGAUGAACGCUAGCUACAGGCUUAACACAUGCAAGUCGAGGGGCAGCAGAUCGAAAGCUUGCUUUUGAUGCUGGCGACCGGCGCACGGGUGAGUAACGCGUAUCCAACCUUCCCUAUAGUAGAGAAUAGCCCGGCGAAAGUCGGAUUAAAUGCUCUAUGUUGUAUUUAGAGGACAUCUGAAGAAUACCAAAGGUUUACCGCUAUAGGAUGGGGAUGCGUCUGAUUAGGUUGUUGGCGGGGUAACGGCCCACCAAGCCCACGAUCAGUAGGGGUUCUGAGAGGAAGGUCCCCCACAUUGGAACUGAGACACGGUCCAAACUCCUACGGGAGGCAGCAGUGAGGAAUAUUGGUCAAUGGACGGAAGUCUGAACCAGCCAAGUAGCCGUGCAGGAUGACGGCCCUAUGGGUUGUAAACUGCUUUUAUACAGGGAUAAAGUGAGGGACGUGUCCCUUUUUGUAGGUACUGUAUGAAUAAGGACCGGCUAAUUCCGUGCCAGCCGCCGC
rnacentral:rRNA from 1 species